UCACCCCUCAAGCCCCGCGCUUGGUGUUGGACGGCUUGGUCGAGUCCGCUCGACCCCUCCGAAAGACAAUGACGGCGGCCUGUGGUUCCCCCGGUACACUGAGCUUUUCACGGAGCACGUAUCGGACGAGGGCGCCCAGGACCCGGUCCUCUCCUUUCACUAGGAAACUUCUCAA
rnacentral:misc_RNA from 1 species